UCCGGUUGAUCCUGCCGGAGGCUACCGCUAUUGGAGUUCGAUUAAGCCAUGCGAGUCGCGAGAAAUUAGAUUCUCGGCGUACCGCUCAGUAACACGUGGGUAACCUGCCCUAUGCUGGAUAAUAACCUCGGGAAACUGAGAAUAAUGAUCCAUAGUUCACUACGCCUGGAACGGUGAGUGGAUGAAAGCUCCGGCGGCAUAGGAUGGGCCUGCGGCGUAUCAGGUUGUAGGGGGUGUAACGUACCCUCUAGCCCUCUACGCGUACGGGUGUUGGGAGACAUAGCCCGGAGAUGGAUUCUGAGACACGAAUCCAGACCCUACGGGGUGCAGCAGGCGCGAAAACUUGGCAAUGCGAGAAAUCGUGACCAGGGAACUCCAAGUGCAUGGGGUAAGACCCAUGCUUUUCUUGACUCUAAAUAGGUCUUGGAAUAAGGGGUGGGUAAGGACGGUGCCAGCCGCCGCGGUAAUACCGGCGCCUCAAGUGGUAGUCGCUUUUAUUGGGCCUAAAACGUCCGUAGCCGGUCUGAUACAUUCGUGGGUAAAUCAACCAGCUUAACUGGUUGAAUUCUGCGAGGACGGUCAGACUUGGGACCGGGAGAGGUGUGGGGUACGCUCAGGGUAGGGGUAAAAUCCUGUCAUCCUGAGCGGACCACCUGUUGCGAAGGCGCCACACUAGAACGGAUCCGACGGUCAGGGACGAAGCCUAGGGGCACGAACCGGAUUAGAUACCCGGGUAGUCCUAGGUGUAAACGCUGUGGACUUGAUGUUGGGGGUGCUCCGAGCACUCUCAGUGUCGAAGCGAAGGUGAUAAGUCCACUGCCUGGGAAGUACGGUCGCAAGGCUGAAACUUAAGGAAUUGGCGGGGGAGCACCGCAACCUGAGGAUUGUGCGGUUUAAUUGGAUUCAACGCC
rnacentral:rRNA from 1 species